rnacentral:rRNA from 1 species
UACGUAGGGGGCUAGCGUUGUCCGGAUUUAUUGGGCGUAAAGAGCGUGUAGGCGGCCAGGUAGGUCUGCUGUGAAAACUCGAGGCUUAACCUCGAGAUGUCGGCGGAAACCAUCUGGCUAGAGUCCGGAAGAGGAGAGUGGAAUUCCCGGUGUAGCGGUGAAAUGCGCAGAUAUCGGGAAGAACACCCGUGGCGAAGGCGGCUCUCUGGGACGGUACUGACGCUGAGACGCGAAAGCGUGGGGAGCGAACAGG